rnacentral:tRNA from 1 species
AAGAGAUUAGUUAAAUAAAUAACAUUAAUUUGUCAAAUUAAAAUUAUUUUUAAUAUCACUUA